rnacentral:lncRNA from 1 species
AGAAGUCGGAGAGUGGAAAUUGGUCGCAGUUUUCCAACUUGAUUUCCCGCGGGGAUUGAGGAGAGAUUGAAUGGGAAUGUGAGCCUUUCACUGACUUCUCACAAGAACAAGAACAUGAGGAAGCUGAGUGGCAAUGAAAACCAACAGUUCAAUCUAUCACAGUUUUGGCUCUUCAUGGCUGAAGGAAAAACUGAAGAAAGCAGAGCAUUUCAACCCGUAUUAGGAAGCUUCCUCAAUGCUAGGUCCAGCCUAGCAGAAAGUUUGAAAUUUUCUAUAAGGCCAUCUGGGGAGAGAAGGCUAGUUGUACUCCCCUCACCCCUAAUUUGUGGUAUGCUCAUGUUAUUUAUAUUAUUUAUAGAAUUUUUUAGAAAUUUAAUAACAUCUCUCAAGAAAUCUGGUAGUUUAUAGCAUGUCUCUGCAUUCUUCAGUUUGUAUGCAGAUUUCAAGAACCCAUUUUGUAAAAUAAGUGACAAAGUGGAGAGCUUGUUCUCCUGACAUAAAAUGAGCAGGGAGUGUCAUUCAACUUUGAUUAGUUAAGCAUUAAAAAAUGUAUUAAUCUCAUGCAUGAAAAAGAUAAGAAUAUUUUUAGCUUUUUUCAUUACUUUAAAA